GAUGAACGCUGGCGGCGUGCCUAAUACAUGCCAGUCGAGCGAACAGACGAGGAGCUUGCUCCUCUGACGUUAGCGGCGGACGGGUGAGUAACACGUGGAUAACCUACCUAUAAGACUGGGAUAACUUCGGGAAACCGGAGCUAAUACCGGAUAAUAUAUUGAACCGCAUGGUUCAAUAGUGAAAGACGGUUUUGCUGUCACUUAUAGAUGGAUCCGCGCCGCAUUAGCUAGUUGGUAAGGUAACGGCUUACCAAGGCAACGAUGCGUAGCCGACCUGAGAGGGUGAUCGGCCACACUGGAACUGAGACACGGUCCAGACUCCUACGGGAGGCAGCAGUAGGGAAUCUUCCGCAAUGGGCGAAAGCCUGACGGAGCAACGCCGCGUGAGUGAUGAAGGUCUUCGGAUCGUAAAACUCUGUUAUUAGGGAAGAACAAAUGUGUAAGUAACUAUGCACGUCUUGACGGUUCCUAAUCAGAAAGCCACGGCUAACUACGUG
rnacentral:rRNA from 1 species